AUACUAAAUAAAUAAAUACUAAAAGAUUGAAACAAUAUAGAGAAGAUUAGCAUGGGCCCUGUGAGCCCUGUGAAAGGCUGAUUUGCAAACUCUGGAAACAUUCCACAUUUAU